GACAGAGGUGCCGAGCGUUAGGCGGAAUCACUGGGCUUAAAGCGUGUGUAGGCGGAUUUGUAAGUACCUUGUGAAAUCCCACGGCUUAACCGUGGAACUGCUUGGUAUACUGCUUAUCUUGGGCCAUUUAGGGGCGAGCGGAACAAACGGUGGAGCGGUGAAAUGCGUAGAUAUCGUUUGGAACGCCAAUGGUGAAAACAGCUCGCUGGGGAUGUGCCGACGCUGAGACACGAAGCCAGGGGAGCGAACGGG
rnacentral:rRNA from 1 species